CUUACUCACGUAUUAUAAUUGCAGGAGGGCCUUGAGCAGAGCGUUUCUGAAACUUUCAGAUUUAGAGCCUGAAAAUAAUUUGGUACUUUUGGGCUAGCUCAAGGCUGGUUAUUGAAGCUUCUUUCCCCUUCCAGGCCUAUCCACUUGUAGGACCCAGAGGUUACUUUUCAUUGGCUACCUGCAGGACCAAAAAUCUUAGACAGGGGGUGCUCCCCUGCUCCGAUCACCUGUGGGUGCUCCAAUUCUAGAGGUGGCCCACUAAAUGUUGACCUUUGAACUUCUAACCUGCUUUGGCGGGUGCUCCAGGAUCCCAAUGGUACCUGCACUGAAGGAGAUUUCAGACUAGUCAGAGGAAGCAACGAUUUUGAGGGUCGUGUGGAGGUUUGCAGCGGCACUGGAGAGUGGAGCACUGUCUGUGACGAUUUAUGGAGUGACAAUGAUGCAAUCAUUGUCUGCCGACAGCUUGGAUUCAUGAUGCAACUGCUUUCAGUUUCGCCUUCUUUGGUCAGGGGACAGGAGAAAUUCUCAUUGAUGAUGUCCAAUGUGUUGGCACGGAGACUCGACUACUCGACUGUGACCUAACACAGAUACACAACUGUCGUCAUACUGAAGACGCUGGUGUUUCAUGCUCUAUGGAUACAGCU